UCCGGACCCUGCAGUCGCCGCCAUGUUGAUGCCCAAGAAGAACCGGAUUGCCAUUUAUGAACUCCUUUUUAAGGAGGGAGUCAUGGUGGCCGAGAAAGAUGUCCAUAUGCCUAAACACCCAGAAUUGGCAGACAAGAACGUGCCCAACCUUCAUGUCACGAAGGCCAUGCAGUCUCUCAAGUCACGAGGCUACGUGAAGGAACAGUUAGCCUGGAGACAGUUCUACUGGUGCCUUACCAACGAGGGCAUCCAGUAUCUCCCUGAUUAUCCCCAUUGCCCCCUGAGAUCGUGCCUGCCACCUUGCGUCGCAGCCGCCCAGAGACGGGCAGACCUCGGCCGAAAGGUCUGGAAGGUGAGCGACCUGCAAGACUCACAAGAGGGGAAGCUGACAGAGACACCUACAGGCGGAGUGCUGUGCCCCCUGGUGCUGACAAGAAAGCUGAGUUUAGAGGCGGAUUUGGCCGUGGACGUGGUCAGCCACCUCAGUAA